UACGUAGGGGGCAAGCGUUGUCCGGAAUCAUUGGGCGUAAAGCGCGUGUAGGCGGCUCGAUAAGUCUGCUGUGAAAGUUCAGGGCUCAACCCUGAAAUGCCGGUGGAAACUGUCGAGCUAGAGUACGGAAGAGGUGAGUGGAAUUCCUGGUGUAGCGGUGAAAUGCGCAGAUAUCAGGAGGAACACCAAUGGCGAAGGCAGCUCACUGGGACGUUACUGACGCUGAGACGCGAAAGCGUGGGGAGCAAACAGG
rnacentral:ncRNA from 4 species